rnacentral:piRNA from 1 species
UGUGAUUGAGGAUGGUUACCUGUCA